UGACGGCCGAAAAUUGCUCCGGUAUAACGGCGGGUAACGGCGGUCGACUCCUCGGCGGCUGGGCUGUCUUCUCAGGCGAGGGGCUCUGGUGGCUAAGGUUAGAGUUUGGGUGUAUAUGAGGUUAUUUAUACCCAUCCGCUUUUAAUUUGAGCCAUCAAUCGCUUUUAAUCUGAACUGUCCGAUCGCGAUUAAAUAGGGAAUGAAUCUAGGCCGUUCAUCGCGAUUCAAUCUGGGCUGUCCGUGCGUGAUUCAUUCUGGACCGUCCGUGCGUGUUUUUGAUAUGGGUCAUCCCUGCGCGCGGGAACGGAUCUCAGCCAUUCGAUUUUGCGUACGCGGAUCGCCUACGUGGCUCCCUCCCGCGAGGCCUCUCGCGUCAACGUCUCUGCCACCUGGCGCGUCCUGGUUGGCCGGGGCUGCUGACCGGGUAGCUAGCGUGGCAUAACUUUUCUAAAUUACGUUUUGACCUCAAAUUUUUUAUUUUUCUUUCAAAAAUACCCCAGAACCUAAAUUUUCACCCAUUUUCUCCAAAAUUGUUUUAAAAAAAAUUCCUAAAUAAUUUUUACCCAUUUUUAUUAUUAUUAUUUUCAUUAAAAUAAAAUAAAUUAAAUUAGAUUCUAUUAACACUAAAUUAUAUUUAUAUAGAAUAAAUUAAAAUAAAAUAAAAUAAUAUAAUAUAAUAAUAAUAAAAAUGAAAAGACAUUUUUGGGUGUUACAACUCUCUCCCCCUUAAAAGAAAUUUAGUCCCUCAAAUUUGUCUCUUACUCUCGAUUGAACAACUGGGGUACUGGGCUUUAAAGUCUGAUUCUAGCUCCCGUGUAGCCUCCCUUGGUGUAUGGUUCUGCCAUACGACCUUUACAAAGGAUAUUUUUCGGUUGCGGAGUAAUCUACUUUUUCGAUCCGUAAUGCCGACUGGUACUUCCUCGUAGGAUAAGUCCUCCUGGAGUGGGAGUGGUUCGUGGGCCAAGACAUAUGAGGGGUCCAGGUUGUACUUGCGUAGCAUGGACACAUGAAACACAUUGUGGAUCUUGGAAAGCUCUGGAGGUAGUGCUAGUCUGUAGGCGGCAGUACCAAUCCUAUCUAAAACUUCAAAUGAUCCAAUAAAUCAGGGGUUCAGUUUUCCCCUCCUGCCGAACCUACUAAUUCCCUUGAAAUGAGUGACCUUAAAAAACACCCGGUCGCCUUUCUCAAACGCUAAAUCUCUCCUUCGGGUGUCCGCAUAACUCUUCUGCCUGUUCUGAGUCAUCUGAAUGUUCCUCUUGGAUGUAGUCUCCUCUACCAGUUCCGGUCUGAACAAUUUUCUAUCGCCCACUUCUUCCCAACAAAUCAGCGAUCUGCAUGGGCGCUCAUAUAACGCCUCAUACGGAGCUAUGCCAAU
rnacentral:lncRNA from 1 species